rnacentral:snRNA from 1 species
AUCGCUUCUCGGCCUUUUGGCUAAGAUCAAGUGUAGUAUGAGUUUCUGCUUUGGGGACGAGUAUGUUAAGUAGCUAGCUUUC